CCUACGGGAGGCUGCAGUUUUUAAUCUUUUCCCCUCGCCGCAACCCUGAUCCAGCCAUGCCGCGUGUGUGAAGAAGGCCCUCGGGUUGUAAAGCACUUUCAGUGAGGAAGAACGCCUGGUGGUUAAUACCCAUCAGGAAAGACAUCACUCACAGAAGAAGCACCGGCUAACUCCGUGCCAGCAGCCGCGGUAAUACGGAGGGUGCGAGCGUUAAUCGGAAUUACUGGGCGUAAAGCGCGCGUAGGUGGCUUGAUAAGCCGGUUGUGAAAGCCCCGGGCUCAACCUGGGAACGGCAUCCGGAACUGUCAAGCUAGAGUGCAGGAGAGGAAGGUAGAAUUCCCGGUGUAGCGGUGAAAUGCGUAGAGAUCGGGAGGAAUACCAGUGGCGAAGGCGGCCUUCUGGACUGACACUGACACUGAGGUGCGAAAGCGUGGGUAGCAAACAGGAUUAGAUACCCCAGUAGUC
rnacentral:rRNA from 1 species